rnacentral:rRNA from 1 species
UACGUAGGGGGCUAGCGUUGUCCGGAAUCAUUGGGCGUAAAGCGCGCGUAGGCGGCUUUGCAAGUGCGGCGUGAAAGUCCUGGGCUCAACCUGGGGACGGCGCUGCGGACUGCAUGGCUGGAGUCCGGAAGAGGGUGGUGGAAUUCCUGGUGUAGCGGUGAAAUGCGCAGAUAUCAGGAGGAACACCCGUGGCGAAAGCGGCUCUCUGGGACGGUACUGACGCUGAGACGCGAAAGCGUGGGGAGCAAACAGG